UGUUUAGGAGGGAUUAAGGAAAUGUUUACUUCUUCAUUAAUUGCGUAGCCAUGUCAUUGACUUCCUCCACACCCUCAGCUCAAGGAAGUGUGUUACUAAGGCAGCAGCAGGCUCAGGAAAAGAUUUGGCUUUAAAAAGGAACCGUAUUCACUGCUAUAUGCAGAUUAAUCAUCCCAUCCCUAGGUCAUAAUUCCACACAUUGUAUGCUUUAGUUCAGUGAAUGAAGUAGUCUACCAGUCAGACAAGGAACUGUUUACAUGUGAGUCUUUAUAAGAAUAUGUUUGCCUACAUGUCCCACAGUACUGAAAAUGGCUUCUGUCCCAUCUCUGAAUCUUCAUAGGAUCACUUAUAUCCAAACAUAUUUUAAACUGCACAAAUCUAGGUCAGUCAGUCCAAAAUAUUUAUUGGCUUCCUAUUAAAUAUUGGACUUGAACAUAUAUUGUAAUUUAGCAAUCCCAUUCAGCAGAGGGAAUCUACUUUAUAAAGAAUUACUGUUCCAUUUGAGUCUCAUUGUAGCCUUACUUAGAUUAAUAAUUUGACACAGUCUGUUUGGUAUGACUAGAGAUGGCUUUAUCAAGAGUUCUUUACAAAAUGCUGUCUGUCUCUGUGGCUGGGAACGAUAUACUAUAGCAUCACUUACUUGAAAUGGAAAGGAAAGUUUAAAAAUAAAACUCAGUUUAGGGAUCAAAAUGAAUGGAGAGGAGUAAUUACUAUAGAAAUUACAGUAUUGUAUUUUUUGAUAUCGUCAUCCCAUUUAUAACCAGUCCUCCUCAGGUACAUACAAGAAUUUUUUGUGCCUCUCCCAGUACUUCAAAGGAGAUGUCAUAGGAAUCCGCAAUCAUGGUUUAUGGAUGUUAUUCCUCCUUUAACAAUCUACUUCACAGCAAUGAAUAACUAGCAAAGCUGAUUCCUCCAGACAUAUCACGUCCUCAUUUGCUACGACGCGGUGUGCACAUUUAAUUUGUAGUUGGGCCGUGUUGGUCCAAGGAUAUUAGAGACUAACGUCUGUUGGUGAGAGAGAGAGAAGUUUUCAAGCCACAAUGGAAGAAAGAUAUUACUUCACCUACCUUGUCUCUCUAAUUUUUAACUUGUCAAGCU